rnacentral:lncRNA from 1 species
AAAGCUUCUGAAGGAAUAGAAUCGAUCUAUCAUCUGCCUACAUGGAUAGGAAUAGAAUCGAUCUAUCAUCUGCCUACAAGGAUGGUCGGAGUCGCACAACAACUAGUAAAUCGGGGACAAGGGUAGCAACUUAGAUAGCGACAUGGAUGGAAGGCGAUGAUGAAAAGAAGCUCCAGUUUUGGUUCAGAAGAUAGGGGAAAAGAGAACCUUACAUGGUUGUUAGUGGCAGUCUCAGGUUACAUAUUAGAAUAGCGGGGGUUCAGUGGAAUCCUUAUUCUCAUCCGCUAGCGGGAAAGAAAUCUGGGUAUCAAGCUUUCACCGAUAAGUCUCAAGAAGUGGAACAAAGAUCUUUCCGCAGAAGCUUUCGACAAGGGAAACAGUUACAUCAGUAGAGCAAGAGGCGAGAGAUAGAUUCCAUGAAUGAUUUGUUGCGCUAACAAGAAGGGAUUCCAAUUAUACUCGCUUAGGUACUGAUCAAGACUCCGUUUUGGUGCUUGUGUUGUAUACGAGUUCUUUUCUUAGCUUUCCCUUUGCGCCCGUUGCUUGCUCUCUUGCUCGUUCUCUUGCCUGUGGGGGUAUAACCUCUGUUUACU